rnacentral:rRNA from 1 species
CGGCUCACGCUGGCGCGCGCCCGCCAGAGGACCCCAACUCUUGUUUUUUUGGUGUCGUCUGAGUACUAUACAAUCGUUAAAACUUUCAACAACGGAUCUCUUGGUUCUGGCAUCGAUGAAGAACGCAGCGAAAUGCGAUAAGUAAUGCGAAUUGCAGA